rnacentral:rRNA from 1 species
UACGGAAGGUCCUGGCGUUAUCCGAAUUUAUUGGGUUUAAAGGGAGCGCAGGCGGGCGAUUAAGCGUGACGUGAAAUGCCGCGGCUCAACCGUGGAAGUGCGUCGCGAACUGGUUGUCUUGAGUGGGUACGACGGAGGCGGAAUUCGUGGUGUAGCGGUGAAAUGCUUAGAUAUCACGAAGAACUCCGAUUGCGAAGGCAGCCUACAAGGCCUUUACUGACGCUAAAGCUCGAAGGUGCGGGUAUCGAAC